rnacentral:misc_RNA from 1 species
UGGUUCUGGCAUCGAUGAAGAACGCAGCGAAAUGCGAUAAGUAAUGUGAAUUGCAGAAUUCAGUGAAUCAUCGAAUCUUUGAACGCACAUUGCACCCGGUGGUAUUCCGCCGGGUAUGCCUGUCCGAGCGCCAUUACAAAAACCAUUUCAAGCCUGGCUUGGUCAAUUGGGCUGCGAUUCUAGCAGUCUGUUAAUCCUGUAGCGUCACCUGUGGGUUCUAAGCGUAGUAAUUUCUCCUCGCUACAGAGCCUGCUGGUGGAUCGUGUAAUUCGGUGGGUGAUUCCACUGUGUCCAGCUAUCAAACCCCUGAGUUUUUUAAUGUUGACCUCGGAUCAAGUAGGGAUACCCGCUGA